GACGACGCUGGCGGCGUGGAUUAGGCAUGCAAGUCGAACGGUAUCAUCCUUUCGGGGGUGAGAGAGUGGCGAACUGGUGAGUAACACGUAGGUUAUCUACCCUCAAGACGGGGACAACCCAGGGAAACUUGGGCUAAUACCGGAUGUGAGCAACUUUUAGUUGUUUGAAAGGUGGCGUAAGCUGUCGCUUGGGGAUGAGCCUGCAUCCUAUUAGUUAGUUGGUGAGGUAACGGCUCACCUAGGCAAUGAUAGGUAGGCGGCCUUAACGGGUGGUCGCCCACACUGGGAUUGAGAUACGGCCCAGACUCCUACGGGAGGCAGCAGUCGAGAAUAGUCUACAAUGGUCGGAAGACUGAUAGUGCGACGCCGCGUGAACGAUGAAUCCCUUCGGGGUGUAAAGUUCUUUUAUAUGUGAGCAGUGCUUCUUAUAUUAACAGUAUGGGGAGAGAGAUAUUAGCAUAUGAAUAAGCAACGGCUAACUCCGUG
rnacentral:rRNA from 1 species